rnacentral:tRNA from 1 species
CAGGAGUUAGUUUGAUUAAAAAUAUCGGUUUUGGGGAUCGAAGAUAGAAAGUUAUUUACUCCCCUUGA